GAGUGAACUUUUAGAGACUUUAUUCAGCUCGGGUUUUCGGUUCAUUUAACAAGAUUUGUUGCUCUGUAAAAAAUAGAUUUUGGCUUCUUGUUCUACUUUCAAGUAUUUGUAUGUGGAUCAGUAAGGGUUGUUUAUUAAGUAAUAAAUUUUUCGAGGUCGGUGAAAACAAUUGCUCUCAGGUAAAAAUGGAUUCAAGUAUUUCAAAUCCUUGAGUCAGGUGAAAGAUUUAAGUGAGGUAGGCAAAAUAUGUACCCAGACUGAAACUCGUUACAGGAAGUGUGCAGAUAUAUGCACUUCAACUUGAUCAUGUUUGAAAUUAUCAGGUGUGUUUUAAUGGUGCAUUGUUGCAAGAAGACACGGUGUCAUAGUAUUUUGGGAGUAAGAUAUAUGGCUUUUUUUUUGGUUGAGUUGGAUUGAAAAGAUAUUGUAAACUGAAACUAGAAACCUUUUUAAAGCAAUCGGAUCUGAAAGCUCAGAAUGUAUGGAAGAGGAAGGGGUGUAUUUGGAGUGGAGAGAGUUUUAUCUCAUCGUAAAUUGCCGGGUGAGAUUCAACUCCUCCAACUGCACACUACGCCAACUUGCAGCAAAUGGACUUUUCUGUUGUAUUGUUAAACUGCUAUGCAUCUUUUUGCACAUUAGUUUUUGGGGUUUUUUUUGGUUGUGCGACUGGCAGCUAUAAAAUAUGGCAGAGCAAGGAGCAACUUUCGGUUUUAAAGGGAGGAAAAAAAUAAAACCUCUUUUAACUAACGUGUUAAUUUAAAAGCACCCAUCAAUAAACUGGUUGUUAAUAGUUGCACCAAACUCUGGAGUUUUAAGAGGUAGGUGGUUAAAGUUUGAUCAGGUUUUUCUCAAAUAUUGACUCUUGAAGAAUUUUUGAUAAUCUAUAAGUGAUAAAGCUGUGAUCAGAGAAGUGAAGCUUGCCAACGUCAUCGUUUGCACUUUGGAGUUGUUUCUUACCGAGCCCGACCCCCAUUUUAUUUACCUAAUAUCAAUGUAGGUAUUUCUGUGAUAAACUGGUUGAUAAACUCUUCAGGUUAGUAGAUAUACACAGGUGUACAAAGGUGCAUCUGAAGAUUUGAAGCCCACUUGAAGCAGCAGAUAGGUACGUAACUAAUGAUGUGGAAUCCUCCAUCUAGCUCAGAUAGGGAGCAACCUUUACCCGCCAGGGAGAUUGGUGCCCACAGAUGACGCGAUUUGAUAACUGAUAAACCUGUGGCCUGUACGGCGAGCUUGAACUUGUCCGAGGCGCGUUGCCUGGGAAAGUUGGUCGUGUGAUUACAGGGUGUUUGUGUGUGCAGAUCCAACAUGUACCAUCUCCCUGUCCCUCUACUUCAGUGGGACACACCAGGCUAAAAGGCCCGCCGUUAUCUCCAGACCGAUAAUGUUCUACAAACACUUCAUUGAUGACAAUAUUAGGGUAUUAGUAUACAUAUGAAUAUACAUGAGUUGUAUUUUUAUAUGUACAUUGGCAGCUUAUGUAAAGAUCGAACACCAGCUUAGGAAAAAAUAUUAAGUUCAACAAACAUUUACAUUGAAAAAGAAUUUGAUGUAUAUUAUUUAAUGUUUGGAAAUUAACAGCUAAUUCUCUUGCUAUUCUACUUCAGCUAUGAUUUUUAUGCAAUACAUUUGAAUUAAUAAAUAUUUAUGAAAUA